AUUAAUAAAGUCCGUAUUAUUUGCUUCCAAAAUGAGUAACUCUUUUUAUUGUUGAUGUUUCGAAUUAUUCUGAGAGUCAAACCGGUCAGUCGUGGUAACCAUUGAAUGAGAAGGUUUUCAUUCAUCAGUUUGUCUGUGGUUUCUCGGAUUGGAAUUUUGAUAAAUCAUUGUUCGAUCGAUCUUCAAGAUGUGAAGGAUAUUAGAAAAUCUUUCGGCAAUCAAUCUUAGGGGUAUGUAACCUACUUGAAGGUUUUAUUUCCUAAAACUGUGGUAAAUUCAAGUUAGUAAUCGUUAAUGUAAUUUUGUUACAGCUCGUCCCAAAAUGUGCAUAAUUUAGCGUCUUAGAGCCUACCUAAAAUGGCGGCUGCUAAUCUUUUCCCUUCAAUUUAACAUAACUUGCAAAACCUAAUGUAACGUCAACCACCUCUUCGUCUUGCCACGCGGUCUGCAGGCGCCGUCGUUGGUAUAGGAAAUAAUGGACACGGCAUAAACCCCGGUAAGUCAUUUAAUCGCUUCAUUGCCGUAAUUUAAAUCGCGCUGUGCCUCAGUUUAAAAUAUAAUUUUUCUAUAAAACUAAACGUGUUAAAACAUAAUUUUUUUUAACCUAGAACAUUUUCUUUGUUCUUAGGGUUUUUCCUGGACCCUGGUUUUUUUCUGGACCCUGGUUUUAUCUGGACCCUGGUUCUCCGGGACCCUGGUUCUCUAAGGCUGUGCCAUCCGGUGGCAGCGUGGUAGCGUUCUUCUUGGCAGUGUCCGUGAAGUUAAGACUUUUAUGAUAUACCUUUAGUUAAAUAUGGACCCUUUAUGCUGAACAGGUAACCUGUAAUCCCUGUGAGCAAUUGCUUACUGCUAAACAUCCCCGGAGGUUGGGGCAUAAC